UAGAAUUAGACGUAUCUUGUAAGCCAAGUCAUUAUCAAAUAGAUGAUUACUUUGGCAUAGGGUGUUCAUUGAGUUGUAAGUGUUGUGUCACUCGAAGCUUUUAAGCGUGAGUGCUGUGUAUCUUGGUUUAAGCUGUGAAGCAUAACCAAGAAUUGUUUUUGAAGUGUGACUUCAAAGUGUUUUUAAAUAUCACUGAGGUGAUUGAGGG
rnacentral:lncRNA from 1 species